GAUGAACGCUGGCGGCGUGCCUAAUACAUGCAAGUCGAGCGGACGGACGAGAAGCUUGCUUUUCUGAUGUUAGCGGCGGACGGGUGAGUAACACGUGGAUAACCUACCUAUAAGACUGGGAUAACUUCGGGAAACCGGAGCUAAUACCGGAUAAUAUUUUGAACCGCAUGGUUCAAAAGUGAAAGACGGUCUUGCUGUCACUUAUAGAUGGAUCCGCGCUGCAUUAGCUAGUUGGUAAGGUAACGGCUUACCAAGGCAACGAUGCAUAGCCGACCUGAGAGGGUGAUAGGCCACACUGGAACUGAGACACGGUCCAGACGCCUACGGGAGGCAGCAGUAGGGAAUCUUCCGCAAUGGGCGAAAGCCUGACGGAGCAACGCCGCGUGAGUGAUGAAGUUCUUCGGAGCGUAAAACCCUGUUAUUGGGGAAGAACAUAUGUGUAAGUAACUGUGCACAUCGUGACGGUACCUAAUCAGAAAGCCACGGCUAACUACGUG
rnacentral:rRNA from 1 species